rnacentral:rRNA from 1 species
GUGGGGGAUAUUGCACAAUGGGGGAAACCCUGAUGCAGCGACGCCGCGUGAAGGAAGACGUACUUCGGUAUGUAAACUUCUAUCAGCAGGGAAGAAGAUGACGGUACCUGACUAAGAAGCCCCGGCUAACUACGUGCCAGCAGCCGCGGUAAUACGUAGGGGGCAAGCGUUAUCCGGAUUUACUGGGUGUAAAGGGAGCGUAGACGGUGAAGCAAGUCUGAUGUGAAAACCCGGGGCUCAACUCCGGGAUUGCUUUGGAAACUGUUUUACUUGAGUGCUGGAGGGGCAAGCGGAAUUCCUGGUGUAGCGGUGAAAUGCGUAGAUAUCAGGAAGAACACCGGUGGCGAAGGCGGCUUGCUGGACAGUAACUGACGUUGAGGCUCGAAAGCGUGGGGAGCAAACAGGAUUAGAUACCCUAGUAGUCC